rnacentral:lncRNA from 10 species
CCUUAUAAGAAAUCUCUCUCUAUAUAAAAUAUAAAACAUAGAUAAACAUACACAAAAUUAUAAACAUAUGUAUAUAUACAUAUGUCUUAUUGCUUCUGUUUCUGUGGAGAAUCCUGACUACUACACAUGCUUAUACUGUACUGACAAAAUUUCUUUUUUUUGGAUUUAGAUAUUAUCUAUUGACUUCUUACCCUAGAAAAUUGAUGUUUACUUUUCUUAUUCCCCCAUGUGCUGGCAUGUGAACACACUCCUUCUUUCUAUCCAUUCUUGUUACUUACAUUAUUAUUUUUAAUGUUUGCAUUAUGACCACCUAAGCUGAACUGACUAGAGUCUUUUAUUGGAAGAUUCUGAAUUAUCAAUAUUUCAAUAUUUUUACUUUUAUAUUGGUCUAUUUCCUCCUGGGGGAACCCUCUAAUUUCCUGGGAAGAUAUACACUUUGCUGUAUUUCCUUUUUUUUUUGGCUGUAUUUCCUCUUGGGGCUAAGUGAAGAAAAAAAGAACAAGUGUUUCAUCAUUCAUUGCACAAGAGUUUCACCUUAUCCUCUUAUUUUCAGUAUGAUGCACUCAUCAUCAGCUGGGCCUGUUUGUUCUUGAGUCUACAUCCCCUGUUUCACUUCUCCAAAGGAAUAAACCAUUCAGCUUCUAUUGUAUGGAGCAGGAGCAGUUGCCUUUCAGUGUGGAAUAAGGGGUAGGAAUCUGAGAAUUGAAGUGAUUCUUGUAAUCUCCAGCACAAACUACACCACCAGUUUUUAGGAAUAGUAGUUCUUUUGAUUCCUGAGGUGUUCUGAGAUUCUGUGUCAUGAAUACAUUUGCUUCUUGGGUUUUCCUACUUCUAGCUUAGGCUUUGGCUUUACUUGUUUUGCUGAUAGUUACUAAUCAACUGUCUGCUUUCUAGGUAGGUUCUUAAUUUUGUUGCUGUCACUUCCUUUCAUUUAUGGUUAAUUUUUCAUAAAGAUGCCAAAGUAAUUCAAUGGAGGGUAGUGACAGCCUUUUAACAUAUAAUGCUCAACUAAUUAGACAUCCAUAUGCAAAGGAAUAAACCCUAAAAUUACCUCACUCCAUAUACAAUAUUAUCUCAAAAUGUGUAAUACACUCGUAUGUAAGAGCUAAAGCUAUGAAACUUCUCGAAAAAAUGUACAAUAAAGUCUUAAGGUAUUCAAUGAGAUAAAGUUUUUAAAAGCAGGACUCAAAAAAAAAUCGUAAACUAUAAAAGGAAAUAUUGAUAAACUUAUGUUAAUUAAAAUAACACCCCUCAUUUGCCCUCUGUGUUAUCAAAUGUUACAAAAAUGAAAAGUUAAGACACAGACUUGAAUAUUUGCACAACAUAUAACUGACAAAAUCAGUAAUGUAAAAAACUCUCACAGCUCAAAAUAAGAGCAAAAAACUCAAUUAAAAUGAGUAAAUGAUUUGAAUAGACACUUGACCAAAGAAGAAAUAUAAUUGAGAAACAAGUGCAUGAAAAUAUUUUCAAAAUCAUCAUUCAGUGUAAUUUCAACUUAUUCAACAUUGUUUGGUCAUAGGGAAAUGCAAACUAAAACAAAGAGAACUCAUUGUUACAUACUUAUUAGAAUAACUAAAAGAAAAAUACCUGAUUAGUAUGCAGGACAACUAGAAUGGUCAUUUCUUAGUGGUGUGAAUGUGCAAUAGUACAACCACUUUGGAAAAUAAUUUGGCAGUUUUUAUGAAGUUAAAGAAAUACUCAUACCAUAUGACCCAUCAAUCUCAUUCCCAGGUAUUUUGCGUGAUAGAAAUGAAGGCCUCCGUAGAGACCUUUUCAAAAUCUUCUGUACAAAUAUUUAUUUUGUCUUCAUUUACAAUUGCCCAACCUGGAAACAACCCAAAUAUCCUUAAACUGAUGCAUAUGUAAAUAAAAUUAAUGUAUAAUGGUACAAUGGAAUAUAGUAGCAAUAAAAGAAGAAAACU